GAUGAACGCUGGCGGCGUGCCUAAUACAUGCAAGUCGAACGAGGUGCUUUUGUAGCAAUACGAGAGUAUCCUAGUGGCGAACGGGUGAGUAACGCGUUGGUGACCUACCCCAAAGUGUGGGAUAACAGUUCGAAAGGAUUGCUAAUACCGCAUGUGGUCUUCGGAUUUAGAAACUGAUGACUAAAGGAGUAAUCCGCUUUGGGAGGGACCUGCGUCCCAUCAGCUAGUUGGUGAGGUAACGGCUCACCAAGGCGACGACGGGUAGGGGACCUGAGAGGGUGGCCCCCCACAAUGGAACUGAAACACGGUCCAUACACCUACGGGUGGCAGCAGUAGGGAAUAUUGCACAAUGGGCGAAAGCCUGAUGCAGCAACGCCGCGUGUGCGAUGAAGGCCUUCGGGUCGUAAAGCACUUUUCUGAGGGAUGAGAAAGGACAGUACCUCAGGAAUAAGUCUCGGCUAACUACGUGCCAGCCGCCGCAGUAAAAC
rnacentral:rRNA from 1 species